GGCGCACGGGUGCGUAACGCGUAUAGAACCUACCCUGUACAGGGGGAUAGCCCAGAGAAAUUUGGAUUAAUACCCCGUGGUAACUUGAUAUGGCAUCAUAUUAAGUUUAAAGUUUUCGGACGGUACAGGAUGGCUAUGCGUCCUAUUAGUUAGAUGGUGAGGUAACGGCUCACCAUGGCAGCGAUAGGUAGGGGCCCUGAGAGGGGGAUCCCCCACACUGGUACUGAGACACGGACCAG
rnacentral:rRNA from 1 species